rnacentral:rRNA from 1 species
AUUGAACGCUGCGGCAGGCCUAACACAUGCAAGUCGAACGGUAACAGGAAGCAGCUUGCUGCUUCGCUGACGAGUGGCGGACGGGUGAGUAAUGUCUGGGAAACUGCCUGAUGGAGGGGGAUAACUACUGGAAACGGUAGCUAAUACCGUAUAACGUCGCAAGACCAAAGAGGGGGACCUUCGGGCCUCUUGCCAUCGGAUGUGCCCAGAUGGGAUUAGCUAGUAGGUGGGGUAACGGCUCACCUAGGCGACGAUCCCUAGCUGGUCUGAGAGGAUGACCAGCCACACUGGAACUGAGACACGGUCCAGACUCCUACGGGAGGCAGCAGUGGGGAAUAUUGCACAAUGGGCGCAAGCCUGAUGCAGCCAUGCCGCGUGUAUGAAGAAGGCCUUCGGGUUGUAAAGUACUUUCAGCGGGGAGGAAGGUGUUGAGGUUAAUAACCUCAGCAAUUGACGUUACCCGCAGAAGAAGCACCGGCUAACUCCGUGCCAGCAGCCGCGGUAAUACGGAGGGUGCAAGCGUUAAUCGGAAUUACUGGGCGUAAAGCGCACGCAGGCGGUCUGUCAAGUCGGAUGUGAAAUCCCCGGGCUCAACCUGGGAACUGCAUUCGAAACUGGCAGGCUAGAGUCUUGUAGAGGGGGGUAGAAUUCCAGGUGUAGCGGUGAAAUGCGUAGAGAUCUGGAGGAAUACCGGUGGCGAAGGCGGCCCCUGGACAAGACUGACGCUCAGGUGCGAAAGCGUGGGGAGCAACAGGAUUAGAUACCCUGUAGUCCACGCCGUAAACGAUGUC